rnacentral:rRNA from 1 species
CCUACGGGAGGCUGCAGUGGGGAAUAUUGCACAAUGGGCGCAAGCCUGAUGCAGCCAUGCCGCGUGUGUGAAGAAGGCCUUCGGGUUGUAAAGCACUUUCAGCGGGGAGGAAGGCGUUAAGGUUAAUAACCUUGGCGAUUGACGUUACCCGCAGAAGAAGCACCGGCUAACUCCGUGCCAGCAGCCGCGGUAAUACGGAGGGUGCAAGCGUUAAUCGGAAUUACUGGGCGUAAAGCGCACGCAGGCGGUCUGUCAAGUCGGAUGUGAAAUCCCCGGGCUCAACCUGGGAACUGCAUUCGAAAACGGCAGGCUAGAGUCUUGUAGAGGGGGGUAGAAUUCCAGGUGUAGCGGUGAAAUGCGUAGAGAUCUGGAGGAAUACCGGUGGCGAAGGCGGCCCCCCGGACAAAGACUGACGCUCAGGUGCGAAAGCGUUGGGAGCAAACAGGAUUAGAUACCCGAGUAGUC